rnacentral:rRNA from 1 species
GAUCUUUAUAAUGAUAUAAUUUUUAUUUGAUUAGAUGUUUUUAUUUUUAAGUUAUUACAUUAUUUUAUUGGGGUAAUAAUAAAAUUUAUAAAAUUUUUAUUUUUAUAAUAUCAAUUUAUAUUUGAUAGAAUAAAGAUCCAAUAGUAUUGAUCAUAAGAUUAAGUUACCUUAGGGAUAACAGCGUAAUGAUUUUUGAGAGUUCAUAUCGAUAAAAUAGAUUGC